rnacentral:misc_RNA from 1 species
GAUGAAGAACGUAGCGAAAUGCGAUAAGUAAUGUGAAUUGCAGAAUUCAGUGAAUCAUCGAAUCUUUGAACGCACAUUGCGCCCGCCAGUAUUCUGGCGGGCAUGCCUGCUCGAGCGUCAUUUCAACCAUCAAGCCCCAGGCUUGUGUUGGGGACCUGCGGCUGCCGCAGGCCCUGAAAACCAGUGGCGGGCUCGCUGUCACACCGGGCGUAGUAGAUUUUAUCUCGCUCAGGGCGUGCUGCGGGUCCCGGCCGUUAAAAGCCUUUUUUUACCCAAGGUUGACCUCGGAUCAGGUAGGAAGACCCGCUGAACUUAAGCAUAUCAAUAAGCGGAGGA